AUGCCUCCAAGUGAUGAAUGCAGUCCACCCAACCUUACACCUCGUGUGGUUCACUGUGCGAGGCGACCAGGAAGAAAGGUGGGCACAGGAUAUUUUACAGGUUCUGACUCAGGUUCAGAGAUUUUAAGUUUACCGUCUGGAAUUAAAGCAUUCUUCAACUGCCUGUUCUGCCACCUGAUCCGCCAUCUUAUCUCCAGUUUCCUGUACAGUGCUACCUUUCUGAUGUCCUUUACAGAGUAUAAUAGCCAUGCUCUUUGGUAGGUGUACAUCAUACUGAAUGUUUUCCUUGUGUGUGAGCAAUCCUUGCUCUUUCCAGAGGGCACUAUGAGCGUGUUCCACCCCAAAAGCAUGUUUAGCAUCUGACCAUGUAUUUAAGGCUCUUGUCAAGGCAGUUAUUGCAGCCUUCUGAGCCAAGUCCCCACAGGCAAUGGUUGUUCGAUUACCUGGUCAGUAGCAGUUACUGCAUAUCCUGCCUUACGGUUGCCUUGUCUCACAACACUGCUUCUGUCGGAUGAACCCAGGAAUCCUCAGCACUGUCCAAUGGUUCCUCCUGUAGGUCUGGCCGACUGGCACAGUCAGUCUCCAAGCAGUCGCACGCUGCCGGUUUGGAGGUAGUUCUGU
rnacentral:lncRNA from 7 species